AGUGGGGAAUAUUGCACAAUGGGCGCAAGCCUGAUGCAGCAACGCCGCGUGCGGGAUGACGGCCUUCGGGUUGUAAACCGCUUUUAGUAAGGAAGAAGGGGCUUCGGCCUUGACGGUACUUGCAGAAAAAGGACCGGCUAACUACGUGCCAGCAGCCGCGGUAAUACGUAGGGUCCGAGCGUUGUCCGGAAUUAUUGGGCGUAAAGAGCUCGUAGGCGGUUUGUCGCGUCUGCUGUGAAAUCCCGAGGCUCAACCUCGGGUCUGCAGUGGGUACGGGCAGACUGGAGUGCGGUAGGGGAGAAUGGAAUUCCUGGUGUAGCGGUGGAAUGCGCAGAUAUCAGGAGGAACACCGAUGGCGAAGGCAGUUCUCUGGGCCGUAACUGACGCUGAGGAGCGAAAGCGUGGGGAGCGAA
rnacentral:rRNA from 1 species